rnacentral:lncRNA from 1 species
UUUUUUUUUUCUUUUUAUUUUUUUGGGGGGGCUGAACCUGCAGCAUAUGGAAGUUCCCAAGCUAGAGGUCAUAUCGGAGCUGCAGCUGCAGGACUACACCACAGCCCCUGAAACACCAGAUCUAAGCCACAUCUGUGACCUGCACCUCAUCUGUGGCAAUGCUGGAUCCUUAACCCACUGAGUGAGGCCAGGAAUUGAACCCGCAUCCUCAUGAAUACUAGUUGGGUUCUUCACCUGCUGAGCCACAGUGGGAACUCUGUGAAAAGUUAUAUAGUUUAUAGCAGAAAAAAAUUACUCAUAUAUUCACACACUGGAUCUCCCCUAAGUGUGAUUACUGGUUAAAGGUUAAUUCGUUUUCUUAUGUAUCUCUGCUUUCAUUGAGUUAUUACCCAAAUAGACCCAUCCCUGGGUACUGCCUGAGUUAUCUGUUCUAUAGUCACUUCAAUGUAUCUGAGGUCUGAGGACCUUUAAUCAGAAUUGCAACGCUGGUGAGAAGCAGUGGUUAUAUCUGUGACAAAGAUAUUUUACAGAUCGGAUGCCUUCACACAAUUUUUCCAUUCUAAAAUAAGCUUGGUGCAAAAGGCAUUACCAUAAACUUUCAGACAGAGUGUAUUUAAAAGUUCAUAAAACCAGAUGAUGGUAAGAACAGCACGUCGUCAUAUAAUUAGAGAUUUACAGUGGCAUUAUAAUUUAAUUUCUGCACAGCAACCUUUCAUACAUGGGUUUUUCAGGCAUGUAAUUGUGAAAUGCAAUUGGAAACACCAAACGGAAGUCUGCGUGUAGAAUUCCUGAACAGUCACGUCAGGCACCAUCUGAGGUUGGAGGAAACUGGGAAAAUUGGGAUGCAUGAUAGCACUUGGCACUCGGUGAUUCUGUAAAUGAAGCCUGGAAAAUGCGCCCCCCCACCCGAUAUACCUACUUCUUAAUUCCUAAAGUGACUAUUACCAUAUAUGACAAAAGAUGUGAUUAAGGUAGGAAUCUUAAAAUGCAAAUUGAGACUAUCACCUCACUUCUGAAAAGAUGUCUAUUAUUUAACAAAAACAAAAAAAGGAAUUCCCAUCCUGACUCAGUGGAGACAAAUCUGACUAGCAUCCGUGAGAACACAGGUUCGAUCCCAGACCUCCCUCAGUGGGUUAAGGAUCCAGUGUUGCCGUGAGCUGUGGUGUAGGUCACAGAGGCGGCUCGGAUCUGGUGUUGCUGUGGCCAUGGUGUAUGCUGGUAGCUAUGGCUCCAAUUGGACCCCUAGCCUGGGAACCUCCAUGUGCUGUGGGAGCGGGCAUAAAAAAAGAAAGAAAAGAAAAGGAAAGACAGAUAAGUAUUGGUGAGGAUAUGGAGAAAAGGAAACUGUUGUGCAUUGUUGGUAGGGAUGUAAGUGGGUGUAGCCAUUGUGGAAAACAGUACUGAGGUGCCUCAAAAAUGAAAAACAGAAGUAACGUAUGAUCCAGCGACCCCACUUCUAAGCACAAAUACAAAGAAAAUGAAAUCAGCUCCUCAAAGAGGUUCAUCGCAGCCUCAUUCACAGUAGAGAAGACAUAAAAACAACCCGAAUGUUGGUCAACUGAUGCAUGGAUAAAGAAAAUGUCACACACACACAAUGGUAUAUUAUUCAUCCUUUUUUUUGGGGCGGGGAGUGCACCUGCUGCAUUACGGAAGUUCCCAGGCUAGGGGUCGAGUCGGAGGUAGAGCUGGCAGCCACAGCCACGGCCACAGUCACACGGGAUUGGAGCCACCUCUGCAACCUACACCACAGCUCACGGCAACGCUGGAUCCUUAACCCACUGUAACCCACUGAGCGAGGCCAGGGGUCAAACGUGCAUCCUCACGGAUACUAGUUGGGUUCAUUAUCAUGGAGCCACAAUGGAAAUUCUUUUUCAUCCUUUAAAAAGAAGGAAAUCUUGUCAUUUGCUGCAACGUUGAUGAACCUGGAUGACCUUACAUUAAGAGGAAUAAGCCAAAGACAGAAAUAUUCUACAUGGUCUCACAUAUAUGUGGAAUCUAAAAAAGUCAAACAGAGAAGCAGAGAGGAGAACAGUGGUUACCAAGGCAGGGAGCUGGGGAAAUGGGGAGAUUCUGUGGGAGGUGAAUGUGUCUUGAAAUCUAACGUGUGGCAUGGUGACUAUAGUUAAUAAUAAAUACUCUACUGUUUAUGGAAAAUUUGCUAAGCGAAUAGAUCUCAGGUGCUCUCACCAGGUUAAUUGAUGAGGAAGGGAAUAUGUUAAUUUCACUAUAGUAAUCAUUUAAUCAUGUAUGUGUUUAUCAAAACAUCUUGUUGGAGUUCCCUGGUGGCUCAAUGAGUGAAGGAUCCAGUAUUGUCACUGCUGUGGCUCAGGUUGCUGCUAUGGUGCGGGUUCGAUCCCUGCUCCAGGAACUUCUGCAUGUCGAGGAUGUGGCCAACCCCCACCCCCCAAAAAAAAAUCUUGUUAUACUCCUUACAUGUAUAUAUAUACAUGAUUGUUAUUUUAAAAUAAAAAGGGUAUUCCAAAUAAUAAAUUAAAAAAGGAAUAAUAGAAUUGGAGUGUCACCAUUUUACAAGCCCAAUGGAUUAAUAGAUAUAGGCAUCAAUCAGCAAUGGCACUCACAUCACAAAAGAGACCAUUAGACCUAAAUUGCUUCCUGAGGAAAGAGCAUAAUUCUACUCACAGUCUUGCCAAAGGAAUGGCUCCAUCUCUGCGCUCAGCUGCCAAAUUCUCUGAAAUGAAAAAGACAGGAGAGCACUUUGAACUGGAGCCCCCGGGGAAGUGCUGCAGGUCACAGGAAUGGGACCUUCAGCAGGUGUCUCCUCGUAAAGAAAGGAGAGAAUAAAUGCACAGAGUCGACUCCAGAGUCUGCAGCCGUAAGAGAAGAAAAGCGAUACGAAAGGAAAGGAUGACGACAAGUCAUGAUGCAGGUGACUUCGGGGCGGUAUGGAAGGAAAGCGAAUGAAUUUCCAGAUUUUGAGGCAAACGAAUGUAAAUGAAAAAGUAAUAUUCCAACUCAUAUCCACGCAAUAAUUUUUUUAAAUAUUAUUCUCACAUUAAAUGCUAGCUCUUUUUAACGCAUGUGUGGUAUAAAGCCCAAAGAAAGUUUCUGAGAUUUUUCCUAUUUUCACAUUUAACAUGAAGAGUCCCUGAGUUUUUCCUCUGACUCGGUCAGGUCCUCCAAAAUGCUGGUUUGUCCAAGGACUUCAUCAUGCAAACAAUUUGCAAGUGCUUGAGAAAACCUGCUAAUUUUCCUCUAAGUUGCAGAAUAAUGAAAGAAAUAUUUUUUAAAAAGAGGGCUAGCUUACAUUUUUAAUGGAUAGACAAUAAGGUCCUACUGUAUAGCACAGGGAACUAUAGCCAGUCUCCUGGGAUAGAAGAUAGAAAAUAAUAUUUUUAAAAAAGAAUACAUAUAUAAGUAUGACUCAGUCACUUUGCUGUACAGCAAAAAUUGGCACAACAUUGUAAAUCAACUAUAUUUUUUAUUUUUUAUCUUUUUAGGGCCACACCCACGGCCUAUGGAGGUUCCCAGACUAGGGGUCAAAUCGGAGCUGCAGCUGCAGGCCUACACCACAACCACAGCAAAGCCAGAUCCGAGCCACAUCUGCAACCUACACCACAGCUCAUGGCAGUGCUGGAUCCUUAACCCACUGAGCAAGGCCAGAGAUCGAACCUGUGUUCUCAUGGAUGCUAGUCAGAUUCACUUCCCCUGAGCCACGACAGAAACACCUCAGCUAUAUACUUUAGUUAAAAAGACAGGGGUAGCAAUUGGAAUUAAGAUUUCCAAAUAAUGAUGUUACACUUUCACAGCAGCAUUAAUUGGGUAUCUGCUGACACUGGACGUGAUAUCACAUUCGAGCUUCACUAUCAACUUGUGAGGAUUAAACAGGCGGACGUGGCAGCUCCUGGGACUGUAGAGUUCCCAGGCAGGAAAAGAAAUGGGAAUUGUUUUACACUGAUCACUGCCUUUGGUCAAACAGUUUAGAGAGGAAACAGCUUUAGUUGAUCGUUAAAUGAGAACCUUCUGGAUGCCAAAGAACUCCACUUUGCUCUAAAAGCUGCCCCAGUGAAACUUCCACCACUUCUGCUGGUCAUGACCUCUGGGACUGCCCACGACCCUCCGGCAGCCUGGACCCUCCUGGUGUCAUUCUGUCACACGAGGGACAGGGCAGCUAUUCUAUAACUGAAGGCAGUUGACCAUAUAUUCCCUGGAGCUAAGCACGCUGAGUUCAUGGAGUACCUCUCAUGCAAGAAACAGUAGAUUGAAGGACUGAACCCCUAAAAUGGUCCCCAAUUUUAACAUUUUUAUAUUGAAAGGGCUCUUUUUACAGUCUGUGAAUUAUUUCUAAUUUUGUUACAGAGCGAGACCAUGGGGCUUGAUAUGGCAGGAUUCUAAGCUCCCCAGACAUGUGUCAUAUGCACCUUGGGUUGAAAAUCGUUUCGAAUUCCCAUUAGCUUGGUUUUUGAAGGGAUUGAAUUUCUUAGGACAGUUAAAACAUCUCACCUGCUAAUGAUCCCAACUCUGUAGCACUGCAACCGCGUUUAUCUAAUUCUAUAGUAAUGCCUGCCAUUGUCCUCUUCUCCCGGAACUGCGACGGUGAAGGGGUUACGAGGUUCAAAGCAUGUGUUGAGUUUGGUAUUUACCAGGCAUUGUGAGACAUGCUUCACCUGUGUUAUCAUAUUUAAUCCUGAAUUUCAGCUACUUACUUCAAUUUUUUGACAGAGGAGUAAGCUGUGGUCAUUCAAGCAAAAUGAUUUAACAAAAGAGGCAGGGCUGGGAUUUGAGGCCAGGUCUGGCAUCUCAGAGCCCACCUACUUAAGAAUUGGUACAUGAGGAAUUCCCUGGGGCUCAGGGGGUUAAGGAUCCAACACUGUCACUGCUGUGACUCGGAUCGCUGAUCCCUGGCCCCAGGAACCUCCGAGGGCCAUGGGUGCGGCCAAAAAAAAAAAA